GGGGAUUUAGCUCAGUGGUAGAGUGCUUGCCUAGGAAGCGCAAGGCCCUGGGUUCGAUCCCCGGCUCCG
rnacentral:tRNA from 1 species